CCUACGGGAGGCAGUAGUGGGGGAUAUUGCACAAUGGGCGGAACCCUGAUGCAGCGACGCCGCGUGGGUGAAGGAGUGCUUCGGCAUGUAAAGCCCUAUCGGCAGGGAAGGAGCAAGACGGUCCCUGACUAAGAAGCACCGGCUAACUACGUGCCAGCAGCCGCGGUAAUACGUAGGGGGCGAGCGUUAUCCGGAUUCACUGGGUGUAAAGGGAUCGUAGACGGGCAAGCAAGCCAGGGGUGAAAGCGCGGGGCCCAACCCCGGGACUGCCCUUGGAACUGCAGGGCUGGAGUGCGGGAGGGGCAGGCGGAAUUCGUGGGGUAGCGGUGAAAUGCGUAGAUAUCAGGAGGAACACCGGCGGCGAAGGCGGCAUGCUGGACCGCGACUGACGUUGAGGCUCGAAAGCGUGGGGAGCGAACAGGAUUAGAUACCCCAGUAGUC
rnacentral:rRNA from 1 species